CUUGGGGGGGCCAGGGUGGGCUCCCCGAGGAGACAACUUUGAAGAACAAGGAGAGGGAGCUGCCUAGGUGACAAAGAGCCAGAAGAAACUGUAUGUGCAAAGGCCCUGAGGUGGGCACGGCAAAGAGGCCUGUUCGGUGGAGGCAGGGUUGGGGCUGCAGGUGGAAGAGGCCCCGAAACAGCCUCAGUUUCCCCAGUGACCACAGCUGACCGGCUGGCCCCUUUCUGAGCCGGGAACAGACCCUCACCCACCUGAGGAGAAACGCUCCCCCCACCGACGCGGAAGACGAGCAAGAAACAGGUUGCACAGGUGUCCACGGGAGGAAGGCGCGGCUGUGGACGGCUGGUGGCGAUGACGGCAGCUGAGACGCACGGGGAGCCCCCGUCCCCGUCCUGGGUUGGAGGCGCGGAAAGGGAGGCACACGACCUCGCCCCAAGCUCGCGGAACGACCCCUCCGCUGCCCGAAAGUCCAGGCAGUCCUUCCAGAAGGAUCCGGGGCCCGGCAGAAUCAGGCUUCACUCCCGUUAGAACGGCUUUGAAAAGCGAACGGUCGAAAAAAACGAGAAAUAACAAAGGGUCGAAAAAAACGAGAAAUAACAAAGGUCGGCGAGGAGGUGGAGAGACCGGAACCCCAUGUGUCUCGGGCGGGAAUGUGCGACGGGGCAGCCGCU
rnacentral:lncRNA from 1 species